ACGAGUCUCGAACUUCGAGGUGUUUCGCGUAAUUUGAUUACAAACUAAAUCAAAUUCCUAUAAGCUAUCCGCAGUAGCAUGUGAACUUGUUGCUACUUAUUUUGGUGGGUGGAUACUAGGUCCGACAUCUUCUGCGCCAAGCUAAUGGGUUUUAUUUGCUAGAAUUGAAUGUGACAAGCUGGGUCAUGAAAUGAAGCUUUAUAUGCAAUUUAAAUCCAAUGUCGUAUUAUUUAUGAGGAUAAGCUGCAUCGAUUUUUGCUACAUUGUAUCAUGAACGUACAUUAAAACUUGUGACAUCCGGAUGCCUUAUUUCAUCCCGGAGCUGACGUGCAUGCACUUCACGGAUGACGAAUUACCAUCUCCUUUCACCAGUAAUCGAAUAAAUUAUUAUAAAUUAUUAAUUUGAAUCACCUUUGCACAGACUUCAGGACGUAAAUACGUCAUAAUCAGAGCUGAACGUUCGAUUGAUUACUCAUUUGUGGAUUCAUAAUUUAUCGUGGUAACCCGAACAUUUUCAGCAUUUUGGCAUUUCAAGCCUAUUUAUGGACCUAAAAAAUUUGUGUGUGCUUGCAUGGAAAAUUAAUUUUAGUGAUGUUUGUAGUAUUAUUUAUUAGUUAGUGAUACAUAUUCAUAUAUGCACAUUGAUAAACUGUUCUACAAAAGUUUUUAACCUUCCGUUUGUACAAAUAGAAAAUAGGCAAGCAGGUAUUUAUUGCAGCCAGGUGUUAUCGUUGAAAUAUGUAUGACUCAUAUAUAUCAAUGAACAGUAAUCUGUGCUGGGAGCUAUGUAUUUUCAUGAUCUGAUGGAUGACAUAACCUAAUUUAAAUAAAUAUGGGUAUUGCUAAUUUGUAUGUACAGUGGUGGCUCCGGGUUGUCUGUCAACCAACGAUUCGACACAUGGCGUUUCUUUGUCCUUGCCUCGUCUCCUGGAUGCUACAUAAACCACUCCUCGUAAAAUAUUCAGGCGUGACACAGGUUAUUAUGCGGCCACUCUAUCUCAUUCCUGAUUUUGCAAGGUGUGGACAAGAUUCUGGGAACUAUUUAUCACCAAAAACCAUAAAAGUGACAUAAUCCUAACGUAGUUGGCGAACGGAGGGCAAAAGAUAAUUAUGUUUUCUUUCGUGCAUGAGGAUUUUCGUAGAAGACUGAUAUUACAUUAAUGUGCUUUUAAGUAUGCACUUAACAUAAAAUUCGAUUAAAAUAAAAUUGGUGAUCUUUGUGAUCUGACUUUUUGAUCUGAAAUAUGAAAAAGUUUCGGAAAUUUUUAUGAGCUGGUCGACCAUGGGUUUACCAGCAAUAAAAUGAUUCUACUGGCGAUUAGUUAUCAUCAUUAAAGAAGAUUCUCAAAAGUGGCAUUAUUUCCCAUCGCAUGCGACUGCGACCGUCACACACACACGAAAAAAUAAUUGGUUCCACUUUGUAAGCCGAUUUUCCUACGUGUUAGAUUUUUUUGUCUCGUUUGUUGUCCAUUCAGCCGCAGCCUUGUGCUGUUGUGUUGAUACACAAAUACUGCUUCUUCUUAUUAUGAGGUCGGAUUACCCAGUUAGUGCAAGUGAACCAUGAACAGUGACAUACGCCAUAAAUUUUAAGCGUUAUAUUCAAGAAAAAUUUAGCUUCUCGGAAAGUACGGCAAGAUUGAUCAGCUCAUUUGCGUAUACAAUUAGACAAAAUCUCGAUAAUAAUCUGGACGGAAUAUUUGUUCUUCACUUUUUUACAAUCUGGUCCAUCUUUAUUAUGUUCGUGAUGUAUUAAUGAGCUCGUAAUUAAGAUUCUCGCAAAUUGAAUUUGAAUUCACACAAGGAACAUAAUCUUGGGAAAUAAUUACAUUUCAUUAGCAACUUAUUCAUGCAAUCCAGCAAAUUCCAGAAUUUCCAGACUCACCACAUUUCACAUUUAUAAAUACUAAAUGUAAGCUAUUUUGGGAGUUAUAAAAUAAUCCAGAUUGAAGCCCAUUUUCUGUCGCCAAUGCACCUUAGACAAACGUCAACAAUUCCAAAAAUUGUACAUUCGUAUGAGGGAGACAAAACCACAAGGAAGAAGGCCGGCGGUUACAGUGGCAUCGCUGCUGGUUGAAUGGACACACACACACGACGAGGAGCGUAAUUACUUUUAGCCGUUGUGUAGAAUGACGCACGAACUGGCCAGACGACGAAGAAAUAAAUAUGCAUGAAUUGCAGGCUUGGAGAUGCUCUAUAAUCAAACCUGAAUAAGCUGCUCUCUUCCGAAAUCAAUUGUUGCGGGUAAAAAACAACAAAGUGAAAUUAUAGUACAGCAGGUCCUCAUAAAAUGAUCGGCCAGUGUGCAUUCUUCUAUGCAGAGAUGUGGUGGUUGCGCUGUGGGUUAAAAUAUAAACAAAAUGUGAUUGAUGGUUCCACGUAAGGUCACGCAAAGACGGAACUCUGUCGUAAAUGGCAUUACCACUCGUUCGGAAACGACGCCUUCAGUUUUGACCACAACCAAUUCCGCCGUCCUCGACAAUGAAUAACCUAAAUCCAUCUCUUGUGGUCAUCUCUGGCGUAAUUUAAUUAUAAUUUAAGCAAACUUUAUUUCCCAAACUAGUGCAAUUGCAAUUAGAAACUUGAUGUGCUCAAGUGCAAUAUUUGUGCGUGGUGUUACAAUAACUCAAAUAUAUAAAAAGCAAGUACAUAACUUUUCUAAGUGUUAACUUAACAAACAUUCCUUUACAUAAUGAGAGGACAAUUGAGCUCGACAUUGGCCCUGCUGCUUAUCUUUGGGACAUGCAGUGGAAGACCGGUGGAAGAAGAGGAUCAAGUGUCCUAUGAAAACCGCAUCAUCUUUCCAAGCGACGUCAACGACCAGGAGCAGGGAGGAGGCAUCAACUCCAGAAUCUUCCAAGUCAACCAAAGGAAAACUUGGUCGACCACAACUCCAAAUGCAUCUCAAGACAGCUGGAUUGUUGAAGAUGACGAUGACCUACUCGCAUCAAGCGACAAAAAUAAAAAUGUGCACUCGUCCAGUGAGCAUUUGCUGAUUAUGAGUGAUGAUGAUGGUGAAGAUCCAUCCGCGUCCGUGGGGUUUCGUAGAAAUUCACAUCGACAGAGCCAGCUGCAGAUCCUCAAGUCUUCGGACCCUUGUGAAAUUGGGUUCCGACAUCGCUUCUCGGCCAAAGGUGGUGGCAAGAUGAACAAGUGUCCACCCCGCAAUGUGAAAGGGUGACAUUCCGUACACAAGAUCAAAUCCUUGCUAUGAAAUAUCACCCUCCUCUGUGUCUUCUUUCUUAAAUAUGUACGUACAAAGUAAAUCGCAAAAUCUUGAAUACAAAUACAUUAGUUUCGUUCA